AGAAAGUCAGAGUACUGGGAGAACAGAAGACUUCACAAUUUAAUGCCUCAGUUUUUAAAAAAGGAUCCUUACACUUCAUGUCUCCUAGCCAUCAGAAGAGGAAUGAGACAGCAAAAGUUCAAAUGGCCUGUUUCAAGUUUCUGAUAUAAAACGAUGACAUUUUCAGGAAAAUCCUGGGUCAUUCCGGCUGCUUUUUUGAGAAGUCCCUGAAGAGAUCAAUAACAGCAAGAGGGAACCUGGCAAGGAAGCUAUUCCUAUAAUCCAGGAAAGAGAUGAGGAAGGCUUGGACCAGGUGGUAGUGGUGUCAGGUAGUCAAAUGCUGGGUAUAUUUUGAAGAUACACCCCAUAGGAUUUGCUCCACAUUGAAUGUGGAAUGCUGGAAGAGAGAUAAAGUGUACCUGUCACAUACUUUUUGAGUUUUAUUUAUUUUCUUAGAAGUAAGUACACAAAGAGAUGCUACCUAGGAGAAGGGUAUUCUUUUCACUAUUCUUUCAAAUUUUCUGUAUGUUCAAACAUUUUCAUAGUAGAAAGUUGGGGGGAAAAUCUGUUUCAUAAACAUUUCCUCAGCAGCAGUCCAGUCUAUUGCAUUUUAAUUGGUUGUGAUAUCAUUG
rnacentral:lncRNA from 10 species